rnacentral:rRNA from 1 species
UACGAAGGGGGCUAGCGUUGCUCGGAAUCACUGGGCGUAAAGCGCACGUAGGCGGAUCUUUAAGUCAGGGGUGAAAUCCUGGAGCUCAACUCCAGAACUGCCUUUGAUACUGGGGAUCUCGAGUCCGGAAGAGGUGAGUGGAACUCCGAGUGUAGAGGUGAAAUUCGUAGAUAUUCGGAAGAACACCAGUGGCGAAGGCGGCUCACGGGUCCGGUACUGACGCUGAGGUGCGAAAGCGUGGGGAG